GGUUUCCUGGUGUAAUGGCUAGCACUGCGGAUUCUGAUUCCUUCCUGUCGCGCUCGUUAACUUAACGCACGGGUUAGGAGGUGACUUCCGCCAAUCUGGGUUCGAUUCCCAGGGAGACCU